rnacentral:lncRNA from 1 species
GCGCCCAGAGGCAUGAAAUCCCUAAGGGGAUAUUUAGCAGAACUCGCAGAACUGCCACUGGAGUGUCAGCCGACAGAGGUUACACCUUGUAACUCCCUGGUUUUUUAACUGCAGUUGAGUUUUUUAUUCUCUUCUUGUCUUCUUCUGUGCAUUUUUUUUUCACUUUACCCCGAAUAUUUUGCAUGCCUGCCCCCUUUUUCAAAAUGUAAGGUUUUCAUUUAUUCGGUUAUAAAUGAAGGAAGUUGAUGGUAAAGUUGUUCCUGCACAUCCUGCAGAAGUGUUUCUCAGGGGAAAUGUUCUCUCCCUUCAGUUGGACCCCUGAAGUUGAUGUUUUCUCCAGCACCCCCAUGCCCCACUCUCACCCCAGUCUGGCUAACUGCUUUAAAUGGCUUAUUUGAGUGAGAGCUUCAACAAUUUGGAAACUGCCCUGAGACAAGGACCCGUGAUGGAUUCAUGAUUGACCUCUUGAUUAUCCGCGGCCAUUUGAGGAAGAUUAAAAGGGCAUGGCAGGAGAGGCAGGAGGAAGGGCGCUGGGAGCUAGGUGGGUGAGAAGUUCAAGGCAAGCAACUUGUCUUCAAGGAAGUGACCCGGAAGGUGCACAUAUCAAUUAUAUUCAUUUAUCAUUGGCUGUUUGUAAAUAUGUUCACAUCUCACUGGAAGGGAGUCUAGACGAUCAUUUUAUCAAUGAAAAAAAUACAGAUUCCCUCUUCUAGUAAUAUGGCAGAGCAGGUAUGCUGAGAGGUCCUCCAAAAAAAAAAAAAAAAAUCUGAAGGACAUCAUAAAAUAAUAGCAUUAUUGUAUUGCUGGAAUCAAGAACAUGAGGGAAAUCUCUGACAGACAAAGGACAGAAGAACAGAAAUUUUCAAAACAGAACAGAAACCCCCCA